AUUGAACGCUGGCGGCAGGCUUAACACAUGCAAGUCGAACGAGUGGCGGACGGGUGAGUAAUGCCUGGGAAACUGCCUUAUGGAGGGGGAUAACUACUGGAAACGGUAGCUAAUACCGCAUACCAUCGGAUGUGCCCAAGUGGGAUUAGCUAGUUGGUGGGGUAAAGGCUCACCAAGCCGACGAUCCCUAGCUGGUCUGAGAGGAUGACCAGCCACACGGGGACUGAGACACGGCCCAGACUCCUACGGGAGGCAGCAGUGGGGAAUAUUGCGCAAUGGGGGCAACCCUGACGCAGCCAUGCCGCGUGAAUGAAGAAGGCCUUCGGGUUGUAAAGUUCUUUCGGUAGCGAGGCGUUAACUACAGAAGAAGCACCGGCUAACUCCGUGCCAGCAGCCGCGGUAAUAC
rnacentral:rRNA from 1 species